CACCCGUUCCCAUGCCGAACACGGAAGUUAAGCUCUUCAGCGCCGAUGGUAGUUGGGGGAUUCCCCCUGUGAGAGUAGGACGCCGCCAAGC
rnacentral:rRNA from 1 species